rnacentral:pre_miRNA from 1 species
AAUGGAAUUGCUGGGUCAUAUGGUCACUCUGUAUUUACUUUUUGAGGAACCACCAGACUGUUUCCAAAGCAGCUGCACCAUUUUACAUUCCCACCAGCAGU